AUUUGUGCAGAAAUGCUGGUAUGUGAGCGUGGAGGAGAAAUUCCUAUAAUGCACGUCUCCUUGUGCAUUCCUGAGUUGCUGUCUGAGUGUUGACCUUGUCCAGAGGAGCAUUAGUGGAAAAA